GAUGAACGCUGGCGGCGUGCCUAAUACAUGCAAGUCGAGCGAACAGACGAGGAGCUUGCUCCUCUGACGUUAGCGGCGGACGGGUGAGUAACACGUGGAGAACCUACCUAUAAGACUGGGAUAACUUCGGGAAACCGGAGCUAAUACCGGAUAAUAUAUUGAACCGCAUGGUUCAAUAGUGAAAGACGGCUUUGCUGUCACUUAUAGAUGGAUCCGCGCCGCAUUAGCUAGUUGGUAAGGUAGUGGCUUACCAAGGCAACGAUGGGUAGCCGACCUGGGAGGGGGACCGGCCACCAUGGGCCUGCGGGAGGGACCAGAAGGGUACGGGAGGCAGCGGGGGAGAAUAUGGCGGAGUGGGCGCAAGCGUGAGGCAGAGACGCCGGGUGGGGAAUGACGGCUUUCGGGUGAUAAACAUAUUUCAACAGAGACGUAGAGACAGUGACGGUACCUACAGAAAAAGCACCGGCCAACUACGUG
rnacentral:rRNA from 1 species